rfam:Pristionchus pacificus strain PS312 contig2667, whole genome shotgun sequence.
GCCAGCUUGGCCUAGGGGCAAGGCGUCGCUCUUGUAAAGCGAAGAUCGGUGGUUCGAAUCCGCCAGUUGGCA